rnacentral:rRNA from 1 species
UUUCCUACGGGGGGCAGCAGUGGGGAAUAUUGGGCAAUGGGCGCAAGCCUGACCCAGCAACGCCGCGUGAAGGAAGAAGGCUUUCGGGUUGUAAACUUCUUUUCUCAGGGACGAAGCAAGUGACGGUACCUGAGGAAUAAGCCACGGCUAACUACGUGCCAGCAGCCGCGGUAAUACGGAGGAUGCGAGCGUUAUCCGGAUUUAUUGGGUUUAAAGGGUGCGUAGGCGGAAUGCCAAGUCAGCGGUAAAAUCGCGGGGCUCAACCUCGCUCCGCCGUUGAAACUGGCGUUCUUGAGUGGGCGAGA